GUGCUUCUUCAGCAGCACAUGUACUAAAAUUGGAACGAUACAGAAAUUAGGAUGGUCCCUGCUCAAAGAUGACAGAAAAUUCAUGAAGCAUUCCACAUUUUA
ensembl:snRNA U6 U6 spliceosomal RNA